rnacentral:rRNA from 1 species
AGUCGAGGGGCAGCAUUUCAGUUUGCUUGCAACUGGAGAUGGCGACCGGCGCACGGGUGAGUAACACGUAUCCAACCUGCCGAUAACUCGGGGAUAGCCUUUCGAAAGAAAGAUUAAUACCCGAUGGUAUAAUUAGACCGCAUGGUCUUGUUAUUAAAGAAUUUCGGUUAUCGAUGGGGAUGCGUUCCAUUAGGCAGUUGGCGAGGUAACGGCUCACCAAACCUUCGAUGGAUAGGGGUUCUGAGAGGAAGGUCCCCCACAUUGGAACUGAGACACGGUCCAAACUCCUACGGGAGGCAGCAGUGAGGAAUAUUGGUCAAUGGGCGCAGGCCUGAACCAGCCAAGUAGCGUGAAGGAUGACUGCCCUAUGGGUUGUAAACUUCUUUUAUAUGGGAAUAAAGUUUUCCACGUGUGGAAUUUUGUAUGUACCAUAUGAAUAAGGAUCGGCUAACUCCGUGCCAGCAGCCGCGGUAAUACGGAGGAUCCGAGCGUUAUCCGGAUUUAUUGGGUUUAAAGGGAGCGUAGGUGGACAGUUAAGUCAGUUGUGAAAGUUUGCGGCUCAACCGUAAAAUUGCAGUUGAUACUGGCUGUCUUGAGUACAGUAGAGGUGGGCGGAAUUCGUGGUGUAGCGGUGAAAUGCUUAGAUAUCACGAAGAACUCCGAUUGCGAAGGCAGCUCACUGGACUGCAACUGACACUGAUGCUCG